AGAGAAGGAUCCUGGCUCAGGACGAACGCUUGCGGCGUGCCUAAGAAAUGCAAGUCGAGCGGGGAGUGAGAUUUCGGUUUCACUUCUAGCGGCGAACGGUCGCGUAACACGUAAGCAACCUGCCCCGAAGACCGGGACAACAGCUCGAAAGAGCUGCUAAUACCGGAUGUGGCCACCGGGAGGCAUCUUCUGGUGAUUAAACCGAGCAAUCGGCUUCGGGAGGGGCUUGCGGCCUAUCAGCUAGUUGGUGGGGUAACGGCCUACCAAGGCGACGACGGGUAGCUGGUCUGAGAGGACGGCCAGCCGGACUGGGACUGAGAUACGGCCCAGACUCCUACGGGGGGCAGCAAUUAGGAAUCUUGCGCAAUGGGCGAAAGCCUGACGCAGCGACGCCGCGUGGAGGAGGAAGUCCUUCGGGAUGUAAACUCCUUUUUCCGGGGAAGAAAACAAUGACGGUACCCGGUGAAUAAGCCCCGGCUAACUACGUGCCAGCAGCCGCGGUAAUACGUAGGGGGCGAGCGUUGUCCGAAGUUACUGGGCGUAAAGCGCGCGUAGGCGGGGGAUUAAGUGAGAGGUGAAAGGCUGGGGCUCAACCUCAUGCAGUGCCUCUCAUACUGGUCUUCUUGAGGGCGGUAGGGAGAAGUGGAAUGGCUGGUGUAGCGGUGAAAUGCGUAGAUAUCAGUCGGAACACCGGUGGCGAAGGCGGCUUCUUGGGCCGUUCCUGACGCUGAGGCGCGAAAGCUGGGGGAGCGAACGGGAGUAGAUACCCCGGUAGUCCCAGCCGUAAACGAUGUAUACUAGGUGACGGGGGAUCGACCCCCUCCGGUGCGCAGCUAACGUAUCACUAUACCGCCUGGGGAGUACGACGCAGGCUG
rnacentral:rRNA from 1 species